CUCUGUACCUUCCUCUUAACUGUCCUCCAUUACCUAAUUUCAGGAUUUAAAGAAAAGAAAGACACUGAAACCCAAUUUGUAUCUCGAUUUCAUUAGAGUUUAGAUUGCUCAGAACGAGUGACAGUAUGUAAAGAUGGACAAAGACGCGAAGAAAAUAAGAAGCAAUUACACCAGAGCUUACCUAAGAAUAUCUGUCAAUAAGCAAGAAACUCCAAAGUACUGGCUUAUAUGUCAAGCAUCAAUGCCACCCCUAGGAUGGAAUACUGGACAGAAUGAGACGGUCGAAGUUAGAUCAGGGAACUUAAAGUGGUCAAUGUCAUUCAAAACUGGACAACUCGAGAGAAAACAUUCGAAAGCAACGACUUUAAAAACGAACUUAAAGAAAUACUAAUGAGGAUUCAUCUCUGCUUCAAAUAGGUGAUCGCCAAGUCAGGUAAUUUUCAUCCAUUUUUUUGGUUGCCAUUGACAUAAUUUUGUUGAAGCCUUAUGAAUAUGAAGCUUAAUGUUUGGUCAUAUAUUUCUAACUCUAUGGUUUUUCUUACUUUGGUUUGUGACAUGUUGUAAGGUUUUGAACUCUAUUAUCUGCAGUCUGAUCCUUACAUGGACAUCCACAAAUUAGGCACCGAAGUAAUGGUUUUUUCCAUUUCGGUACCUCUCGAUAAUAGAAAAUGAUGUGUUGCAGACUUGCAGGUGGGUCGAAGGUGACACCCUUAACUUACAAUUCCUUACAACUACAUGCAAUCACAGUCGAUGUUGUCCUAAUUAAGGAAUGUUAUAGAUUAGAUGCUUUCAGUUUAUAUCCAGGUUCGUUUGUAGCUUGUGCAUUUUUUCUUUUCAUUGAAUCAUUGGUAUAGUGUUUGGUGUUAUGAGAGCAUUUAUCUGACGUCCACAGAGAGUUACUUGCAACUACUACAUCAAGAGACUUAUGCCCACACCCGAACUUUUGUGCAGAAAGUAACCCAAAACAUUGAGAUGUUGAGAUGGAGAUAAUUGAAAAAUAUACAUUUAAGGGUUCAUGAUUGUCAAAUUCAUUAUGUGGACUAACAUGCAACCACGUAUAAGUUGUUCCCUUUCUUUAAUACAUAAUUUGUUAAUAAUUUGAUGCACGUGAUAUGUAGUAGCAUUGCUGUUCUCUUCUUUUGUAGGGAAGUAACCGGAAGAAAUUUCUCAGAAAAUGGUAUAUGAUCAUCGGGCUCGGCCAAGAAUUGCUAAAAUUUGACCAUAUUGGAGCUGUGGAAUGUGCUUUUUGAAUAUUCUGAGAAAUUUAGAGAAAGGACUCGGUGCAAGUGGUGCGACUGCGCCACUUUCUGUAAAAGUAGACAACACCAUAGUGUAACUGACUUUUUUUUUGGACGCAAUUAUUAGCGUACUGCAGGUGUAUUCUAGAAAUGAACUCAGAGCAGACCAUCAAGGUAUCCCAAAAUGACAGGAAUUUGCUGCCACAUUUGAGAUGAUACUAAAUAACAGCAAACAUGUAGAUCAAAAUAUCGGCAAUGAAGGCAAAAAAAAGUUCUCAGUGGAUGGCUUUUGGAUCUCAACGCUAAUCCGAUUGUUAAAUAUCCAUAUCUACUACAUGGCAUGGUUAAUUCAUCUUGGCAUGAAGGUAUAUUUCCAGAUUUCUGUUUUUAAAGAUUUUUGGGUACAAUUGUUAUUAUGAUCAGACUGUUAAGUGUUGUAAUAUUAAGAUUGCGGUAAAUACGGAUUCGUUGCUCGGACUUGAAUAGAUUUAAAAACAAAAAUAUGUACAAAAUUGUCACAAGAUCAAGAGGA